AUAUAUGCAGCUUAGGAAAGGGCUGCAGGGAUGAAAAGAAAUCGACAUUGCCGAAAUUCCUGCUUCUAUACAAUACAACUAUGAAAUGUACAGGAGCUUUGUUCUCCUUUGAAGCUAACUGUCUGAUUUCCCGCUAAUAAAACAUUCUUGUAUACAAAAAGGAUUAAUCUGGUCACAAAGAUGUUAGCAGAGAUUCAAGUUUCUCCAGUUGGAAAGGUGCUAACCCAUAAAGAAGGCACGAAGGUUGCUUCAGACUCUGUUUGACAAGAUAAGUAUCUAGAUCUAGCAAAAACUUAACAUAUCUGAAGCUUAGAGAAAGCAAAAUUGAAUCUCAACAUAUCUGAGGCAUAGAGGAAGCAGAAAGCAUAGUCUGGAAAUCUAGAUCUAGAUAUCUCCAGCUUUUCCACACACUCCAGUAUGAUCCAGAAAACAACUAAGUAGCAGGACUACAUAGACAGGACUUGGUUUGGUGCUUAGUGGCUUUCAUUAAGUUCUACGGGCUGCAGACUACAACCUAGAAUAGAGUUGAAAGGGGACAAAACCUCCUUCUGAGCAGGGAGGACAAAACUUGCUUCUGAUAAUCAGAGGCAAGAGAUAUGUUUAGCCCAAGCCUACCUCCACUCCACUUGUGCUCCUGAGGACAUGCCUUUCCUUCUUCUUGAAUAAAUGAAUGGGUGUCAUUCAUUCCUGUAGGGGAAAGUGAAGUGCUGCAAUUGGCACUGCCGUGGAAGUAAAAUCUGCUCACGAUAUCUAACACUAGAUGGCCAGGCCCGCACAAACAGUGACACCCAUGGGGAAACCAAAUCCCUUCCCCCACAAUACCAUAGUUCUAGGGUUAAGAAGGAGUUAAGAUCUACCACCACCAAGAAAAUCAGGAUCCAGCUUUAGAAGCAUCACAUAUUCCAUCAUCCGCAUCCUGAAUUGGACUUCCUCCAUUUGGAGUGAGGAAGCAUUGCUUGCUACCACCUCUUCCUCCUUUUCAGGGCCUAGAAACUGUGUUUGGUUUCGGGGGCCAGAGAGCAUAUAGUUUCAUUUUUGCUGUACCUGAAUUAAUGGCCUUACUUGUGGUUGAAAGGGUUGAGGGACAGGGAGAAGAAAUUGGGGGCUGAGAUUGGAUAAUCCUACAAAGAAUGGUGGACAAGAGAGAUGAAGUGCUUUUGACCUUUGUUGUUCACAGUCACCCUGAAGAGUUGUCUUAUUGCAGUUUAACAAAAAUUAGCUGUGUUUAAGCAUAAUUUAAUGAAGCUGCAAACUUUCAUGAAAACAUGAGAAGAGUUCGCCACCGUGAAAACAUUAAGUACUGUGUAGAAACUGUUAGGUGCCUAAAAGUCCCAGUGAAAUGCAUUACAUAACUGUGUGCUUAUGCCCCACUGAUUUCAAUAGAUCACCGGACUGUCAUAUGAUUGUAACCAUUGUUAGAAGGAAAACUGGUAGCUGUCUAAAGAAUGGAUGAAUCGCUGCUUAUUCCGCAGCUGUGCUGGCUUGACCGAUCAAUAGCCUUCUUCCAAUGCUUCCUUGCAGGCCAGCUCUACAUCCAUUGCUGGAUUCUUCCACCUCCAUGCUACUACUAUCCUCCUCUCUGCUGGUCUGUUAGUUGUGCUGGCUAUCAGUGGCUCCAGCAAUUCCCUCUUGAGUGAAUUGUCACAUGGUUCUAUGUGUCCAGUUAUGGUGUGGGAUGGUAGAGCAGGAGAUCUCUUCCUUCUCUCUGGAUACAACUUCCUCACUUUGAGCCUAUAGCAAUGCUUCGAAAAACACUGUGGACAUAUUUCAGACUCAAAAUAUCCCUCCUCCACAACUUAAAUCUAAAAUGCCCUUGCUUGUCUGCCUUGAUGUAAAACACAGAAGAGAUGCAUGAUGAUGACUAUAUGAUGUAAUUUACUGUAAUUUGGUAACCAAUGUUCUUUACGUGCUGUGACUAACCACAGAUGCCCUCUAGUGGCUUUAGCACAGAGCAGUGUGCUGCCUUUAUUGGCACACAAUAUCCCCUGCAAGUGUAAAGGAUACUCUUGCUUGUACCCAGAAUCAACUACAUGCAUGAUACUGGCAUGAUAUCAGCAUCAAAGAAGUGAUGGAUCCUCUUUUCACUUGGUAGUUUCUUGUUUCUAUACCUUAUUAAUUCCUAUCUCUAUCACAUAUGAAACCUACAUGUAACAUUUUUAGCCAAAAUCUUACAGUUGAGCCUCAUGCAUGAGUUUGUUCCACAAAAGGUACCUUACACAAUCCUUCUUCACAUCAGUGUUAAAUCUAAAGACAGUUUUGUUCAUUAGGAAACCUAGAAGAAUAGGGACACAAACACCUGUUUGGCUGUAGGGCCACAUUUCUGCCUUUCUGAAAAAAAUGUUCAUCCCUCACUGGGAGUGUGGGUUUGAGGAGUAAGUUGAGGAGUUCCCCCCUCAUUUUACUGAAUACCCACCACCACCACCACCACCAAACCUACUAACCUAUAUCUCCACCCCAAAGUGUUUUUCUUCCCUCUGGAAAAGAUUUGUGAGGAGGUGCUCCUCAAGCUUCCCUGAAUCUGCAGCCCUGUCCCUCAAUUUCAACUGUUUCGAGCUCAAAACAAAUUGCCUUUAAAAUAAAGGGCCUGUUUCAAGCUCGAAACAAAACUAUUCUGUUUAAAGCUCAAGUUGUUUCAAAUGUUUUCAGCACCAUUUUUCCAGGGAGAGCUUGUCUACCAAUUGGGGUCAGGUAGAUCUUACAGAUCUUUCUGGUCUACCAAUUGGGAUCAGUGGGUAGAGCUUACAAAUCUUUCUGCAGACCUUACAGAUCUACUUGCCUCACACAGCGGGUAAACCAGGUCUCAGCUCCAGAAUGGUCUACCUGCCGCAUGAGGUGGGUAGACCAGGCCUCUGCUCCAGGCAGCAUGUUGGCCACCAUGGAGGACUGGUCUACCUGCCAACCCCAAUUGGUAGAUCAGCUCUCCCCAGAAAAAUGGCACUUGAAACAUUCGAAACACUCAAAACGUUUUAAGUGUUUCAUCGAAACAGCAAGCGUUGCUGCUGUUUCUAUGAAUCUAUCUGAGGAUUCUGCAUUUCGUUUCGAGCUCGAAAAUCUGUUCCGUGCAUACCUCUAGUAACAAAUGUACCUCUAGUAACAAAUGGGAUGUGUACUGGAAAAAGCUGGAAUGCCCACUUACACAAUAGACACUCUUUUGACUCAUUAAAAAGCCAUGUAAGUAAAUAUACUUCGCAUAUGUUUAAAGCUUACUUAAAUACCUUCCAUGUUUACAUAUUUUCACAUUUGAAUAAUGGCAUGUAAAGAUAUGUGGUUUUUUUACUAACAUUUUGGAAAUAACUGUAAGGAAACAUCAAAGGAAAUGAACUAGUGCUGAAAUAUCUGAAAAAUGGCAAACUGUACAUUUAGGAUUUUUUAAACAUAUAAAGGCCAUAUACACCAGAAGCCUAACGCAGGCUAGGGAAGCCCAGCUCGGUUGGACUGCUUAUGUGGAGCACUGGGAUCACUCCUGAUCCCAGUGCUUCUGCCCUGUUUAGCCCAAAUUUUUAGCCCAGUGUUUAGCUGAGGUUAAAUGAACCUGUAGUUUGUUUAACCUCGUUAGGCGAUGAUUGCUUGCAACAAUGAUUGCCAACAUGGUGAUUCUCUUUAUUUAGCAGGGGCCCAGCACAGUACCUCCAGUGACUAUUGCUGGUGUCUAUCUUAUGUUUCUGUUUAGAUUCUGAGCCCUUUGGAGACAGGGAUCCAUUGUAUUUAUUUAUUAUUUCUCUGUGUAAACCACCCUGAGCCAUUUUUGGAAGGGCAGUAUAGAAACUGAAUGAAUGAAUGAAUGAAUGAAUGAAUGCCAUUGGGUUAAAAGGCUCCCCCCCACCCUGCAGCCCAUCACCAUUUCCAGCAGCAAGCCAGGAGAAGGAACAGCCAUGUCAAGCAUAGUGGAUGCUCUAAGGAGAUCAGCCACUGCACUCCUGGCAUGGGGCACUCUGGGAUGUGGGAGGGGAGGUCCUCCCACUCCCGGAUUUUUCCUUCACUGUGCUGCAAACGGGCACACAGCAUAGUGAAGGCAAAGACGACAACUCUCAUCUGCCGGGAAAGGCAGGCAAGCAACUGCCUUCCGCACACCUCCCAGCGGUGGUGUGAGGUCGUGUGCAUGACCUUUGAAUUGCAUGUAUCAGUCAGCCAGGCCAAUCACUCCUUUGUAGUCCAUUGUGAAAACUAUGAUAUUCUACUGAAAGGAAAUUAAUGUGGCUAAGUAAAUUUAAAAGCAUAACCACUCACUCCCUAUUAAAAUCUAUUUUGAGCAGCCCAAUAAAACCUUCUAGAUGAAUAGAUAUGCCUAUUUGAUCAUUUCAAUUUGACCUUUUUUUUGUUGUUCAGCAAUUUUGAUAGUAUUCUGCAAAUCAAUGAAGCAAAUCUGAAUGCCCACAAUCUCUAAAUACUUGUGGUCAAAUGUCAGUGCUGUCAUCAAUUUGUAUGAUGUCACCUUGUUAGAAAGAACCAGUGUGGAGGAGUCGAUUGGAAGUUUUUCUUCUCUUUGGGAGACCUGGGUUCAGGUCUCACCUCUACUAUAACCUCAUUACACAGCUUAUCUUCCAGCUUCAGUUCCCCGCUUUGCAACAACAACAACAAAAUGAAAUGCAUAUAACUGCCUAAUGAUAACAUUCUGCCAGUCCCAAUUACUGGAAUCACCAAUGUAUGAGUGAUUAAGCCCACGUAGCAACACAGCAGUGUUAAUACCCAUAAAGAAAUUCCAUGCCCCCAAAUAGGUGCUGAUUGCAAGGAAGUUCCCUAGUUAUAUUCCUUAAUAGAAAAGACGUCUCUGUGCACAGAGGAUAGGGAGGGAGGAGGAAUUAUACCAAAUAUUUCAGAUAUUUUUUCAUGGCUUUCUGAUAGGAAGCAAGGAUUUAUUGCAAACAGCUUUAGCUGAAACUAUGCUUCAUUUUUCACAUUUUCAGCUUGUUAAAGAACUCCUCCCCUUUUCAAUGAUUUUUCAGCACUCCUUGUGAAAAUGUUCACAUAUUCUUUUAACUUUCCUCAUGUUAUUCUCAGUUGUCCUCAGUGACAUAGCCAAGUCUGACUGGUUACUAUUAUAUUAGGAAACAUCUAAUGGUAUUGUCAUAAUGGCAGAUGUAAUGUCAUGGUGACACCAUCCCAUUUACUAUGGACUCUUCCAGACAACAUUAAGAAGCACUGUUCCAAGCAUGAAUUUUAUUCACUUUCCACACACUUUAGGCAGCUUGUGUUGUCUUUUGCAGCACAAAUUCAUGAUCUGUCCAUAUGCACAGCAGGGCCCUUGCACAUUUUUAGCAGUGCCAUCUGCCGGCCUGCUCUUGUUUUCUGUGAAGAACUGAAUGCUACUUUUAUGGUGAAUUGAGGUUCUUCAUGGAGAACAACAGCUGACCAGCAGCUGCUAAAAUUGUGCAAGGGUCUUGCUGUGCAUAAAGACAGGGUGUGAAUUUGCUGUGGAAAACACAAUGCAAGCCUCCAAGUACAACCAGAAUAAAAAUGCAUUUGGAAAAGAGCAGGAACAGCUCUUCUUACUUUCCCUUGGAAGAGUCACAUAUACUCUCUGAUUGGAUGGGAUAACCCUUGUGACUAAUUCAGGCAGAAAGAAAAAGAAGCUGAGUUCUCUGAUUUAUGAGUUGUCUGAUGAAGGACCACCCGAAAUGGGUUUAAGAAUCCCGGGUUAACCCAUAAGGACUUUUACAAGAACUCUCUCACAGGAUCUUCUAUUUGGCAAGAAGUUUCAGUCUCUUUUGAUGCUAUAUUUCUAUACAUGCAUGCUCAGGCAUCAGUAUAUCAACACCUCUAUUUUAUUUGGAAAUUGCCAUCUACAUUGGAGCAAUCAUCAUUCUACAUAUGGACUUAUAUACAGUUUGUAGUAUUUUCAUGUGUAUAUUCACUCCUUACUAUAUUGUUGUCCUAUUAUUAGAGUUUAAAUAUUUGGAUACAUGCAUGUGCAGAAUUUUUGUCAGACCAUUGGUACUUGUUCCAGUUUACUGGAUUAUGAUUGUUAUGGUUUCAUUCUAAUAUAGCAUCUUGAAUUUGUUUCACAGA